AAGUCUGUUAGAGCACGUGGAGCGUUAAGAUCCUGAGAACUGAUGUGUUUAACGCGGCGUGACUACUGAUGGGUUUAUCGCGGCGUGUUUCACAAGAUCCAAAUGUUGUACGCGGGUGGAGAGUCGACUCACACCUCCUCACAAGUCCUGUGCAGGAUGUCAGGGCCGAUUGACUUCAUCCUGAGAUUAAGACCUCAUCUUGGUCCGAUCAAGCCGGAACGACGAGCGAAGUUUGCGCUCCCUGAGGGGCUGGAGCGGGCGGUAGUUGUUCACCAUCACAUCCUCUUCCUCACCUCGCCCGGAGAACAAGAGUGUGCGGAACGUGGAUAGCUGGAACGGAGAACAGCCGCGGUGAGCUUACACAGGCACAGAGAGAUCCACGUGCCGGGUGACCCCUCCCACACUGACCAACAGAACUCAGUAUAAUGAACCCGUGACUCCGCGAAGCCCAAGGGAUCACUAAAGGCACAGUGGCCACCACUCCAUUGGGAUUGGAGAGCCCAUAGAUAGACACGAGGGGAACCCAGUGGUUCCAAUGAAAGGUCCCAAGAGGGAACUGAGGCCCAGCCAACAGCCAGCACCUACUUGCCAGCCACUGAGUGAGCCACUAGGUAGGGAAGGAAUCCCCUGGGUAUGUGCCAUGAUAUACAUCUUUCUGUUAAUGUAUACAUUUACACCCCACCACCAAUGAACUGUGAUGAGAUGGACAGGAACUCAUCGGGGCCAAUUAACCACUUUCUUUUUUCCUGAGAAAGAAAACGACUUUUCCAUGAGGGGAACAGAAAGGUCCCAUCGAGACUUGUUCUUAUACAGAUGGGCCUUCUUAGGCACAGCCUGGCUGAGCUGUUGAACUCAGGACAAUGUUCACACCUGGACCUCAGGGAAUAUGAUGUAUGCUGGCUUCACACAUGAUGUAUGCCGCUUCAUACGUGACGUAUGGUACCCCAAAAUAUUAUCAUGGGGCCUUGCACUCGGUGACUCUCAUGCAAACAGAAAACCCUCUAGCAGUUCGGGAACACCUCAAAUACUCCAGCGGGGCCAGGGAGGCAUGGCACAGUCGGUAUCCUGCUUGAGUUUGAGCCUAGCAUGCAUGGUGGUGCGCUCUUGCAAUCCCAGCCUAGCAUGCAUGGUGGUGCGCUCUUGCAAUCCCAGCCUAGCAUGCAUGGUGGUGCGCUCUUGCAAUCCCAGCCUAGCAUGCAUGGUGGUGCGCUCUUGCAAUCCCAGCAUUGGGGAGGCGGAGCCAGGGGAACCUGGUGCUUAGUAGUCAGCAAGCCUAGCCUCGUGGGUGAGUUUCAGGCCAAUGAGACACCCUGUCACAAAGCACAAGACGAGUGGUACCCAGAGAGUGACAGCCAGGGCUUGACUUGAGACCUCCACAACACACAAACAUGGGUGGACCAGAAAAUGGAGUCCAGCAAUGCCCUACCAUGACACCUCAAUGAAGAGGCAGGUAAAAAUGACCUCUCUUGGGGCUGUGACACAGCUGGAGUGCUCACCUGGCUCGGGGACACCUCAACAGGCGUCUUCUGCACAAUCCAGGUGACUGACUCAGCAAGUGGCGGGGUGGUGAGGGAGCCAGGGUAGGUCCAGUAAUCCCGGCAGGCAGGCAGCAGACAAGAGGGGUCAAAGGGUCCCAUGGCCACCUGUGUAUCCUGACAACGAGAACCACAGCCCCAACAAUCAGGGGGUCCGUCAUAUAUGGGGGCCUCUCCGUCUUACCACAGCUUUGAUGGCCAAACGAGUGUUCUGGACACAGGUUAUCAUAUGGCCACCAUUGUCAUAUGUGGAAACAUAAAGAAAAGGUGACUCUUCUUUACAAAAAAGGGACUCUUACCAAAUGGUUGUAUUUCCCCUGAAAGUUAUGCCUUCCUAUAUACCUUGGCUGAGAAGAUGUGUGGGUACAUAUAUAUGGGGGUACCAUUUUUGACAUUUUAAAAAUAUUUAUUGAAUG
ensembl:antisense